rnacentral:lncRNA from 10 species
ACUUUUCCCCCUCUGAACGUGCAAAAGAAUGAUUUUCCGAAGCUGUGGAGGAAAGAAAGAACUCUCCUUCUGAACAUCUCAGGAUCUGAUGCAGAAACUUAUCGGAGUUUCUUACCGGAGCACCAGUCACCUCUCAUCAUUUUCCUGUUUUGACGUGAAGGCUCAGUGAUAGUGAGCAGGCUCAGGGUCUACAGAGUUGGUGAUAUCAGCAUCACACAGGACAUUCAGAAUGUUGACUCCAGGGAUGUUGAGAGAUACUCCUGCACAAAGCUGCCAGCACCCGUGUCCAAGAAACACUCAGAAUCUAGGUCUCCUUGUAUAUUUUCCCCACUACCUGCAAAGGUAAAGAGGAACAGGCAGUGCUGGGACCGAGGGAGCGACAGUCCUAAUGGAAGCUAGUGUGUUGAGAGUCUCCUCUGUGUCAUGCUCUGAGCGACAUGUUUUAUAUGCACGAUCUCAUUUAGACCUUGUGACAGCAUGUUGUAGCAAGGACCCCAUCAUCACAGGGGGCAAAUGUCUGCAGUGCAGAAAGUCGUCCUGAAGAAAUGGAUGUCAGAUAAAAACAGUCUUCAUAAAUCAAUGAUCCUGUUUUACCUCAAAAGUGCAUGAAAUGGAAAUGGAAAUAUCUUGUGAAGAUGUAGACAAAUGACGGUCAUUGCCCAGAGCAGUAGUUACUGUCAGAAAAAGAGAUAAGGAUUUCCAGUCUGACAGACUGGAUUCCUGGCUCAACACCACCCCCUUCUAACCAUGUGACCUUGGGCAAAUUACCUAACCUUUUCUGAGUCUCAAUUUCCUCAUCUUCCAAAAGGGGAUAAUAUCAUAUAUGUUCCAAGAUUGCUUUCACUUCUGAUGCAGGAGAUGCAUCAGGCCAACCGCCCUUUGCAAGGUGAAGUGUCUGCACCAUUGGAAGUACUCUCCAUCCAGGGGAGAGAGACUGGAAAUGGUCCAUGAGGUUUUCAUCGACCCAGAAUGAAAGCAUCACCCAUCAUUCCCUUCUUGUUACAGCCUAUUUGUCAGAACCAGUCAGAGUUCCACCCACCUGCAAAAGGUUGUGACGUGCUGUUUGCGAUUUGCCUGGAAGGAGGGAAUACCCAGAUACAGGAAAAUGCUAGUGACGUGCACUUCCAUCUAACUAUCUUUGAAUGAAAAUGACAGUCUUAAUUACUGCAGUAAGAUAAGCAGACUCUAUACCUGGUAGAGCAAGUCCUCUUACCCCAUUUCUUCUUCAAGAAGGUCUUGGCUAGUUUGGAACCUUGGCAAUCCCAUAUAAACUUUAGAAAAUGCUAGUUAAGUUCUUUAAAAAUCCUGCUGAGACUUUUAUUGAAUCCAUAGCUUCAUUUAGAGAGAGCUGACAUUUAAAUUAGGGAGUGCUCCAAGCCACUAACAUAGAAUUUCUCUCUUUUACUCCAGGUCUUCUUUAAUUUCUCUCGAGUGUUUUGUAAUGUUUUGCGCAAAGUUCUUGCACAUCUUUUGAUAGAUUUCCCCCUAGGUUUUGGAUAUUUUUAAGAUGCUAGUGUAAAUGUUAUUGCUAUAUAUUUUUCAUUUUACAAAUAUAUGUGUUUAGUAUAUAGAAAUUUAAUUCAUGUUUCUGUAUUGACUUUAUUGAGUAACCUUAUGAAACUUUCUUAAAUUCUAAAAAUUAUCCACAGCUUCCCAUAGAUUUUCUAUGUAGGUAAUAACAUAAUCCACAAAAAUGACACUUCAAUUUUUUCCUUUCUGUUUCUUAUGUCUUUAUUUCUCUUUCUUGCAUUUCCCAUGUGGGGUCCCUAGACACUGUUGAAUAGAUGUCGUGAUAGUGAGCAUCCCUGUUCUGUACACAGCCUCGAAAGGAAAAUUUUCAGAGUUUUGUUUUAAACAAUCUGGUUGUUAUAGGUUUUAUUGUAGCAGCUCUUCACCAGAUUACCUGCAUGUUUUCUUUUUUCUAGUUUCUAAGACUUUUAAUCCAUUAAUGAGUGGAUGUUGAAUUUUAACAAAUGCUUGUCUCUGCAUGUAUUGAAAUGACUAUAUGACUUUUCCCCAAUUGAUCUGUUAAGUUGGUAAAUUACACUGAUAUUCCAAAGUUAAAGCAAUUUUUACACUGGCACCCUCAAGUAAGCCAAAUUUGGACAUGAUGUAUUUUUAAAUAUAUAUUGCUGGUGUUGGCCUGUUAAUAUUUUAUUUAGAAUUGUUGAGCCUAUGUUCAAGAAUAAAAUUGGCUUGUGAUUUUCCUUCACAUACUGUUCAUAUUGGGUUUUGGUAUCAAGAUUACUCAAGCCUCACAAAAUAACAUAGGGAGUCUCAUUUUUUCUAUUUUCUGGAAGAGUUUGCAUAAGUGUGGCAUUAUAUCUUCUUUAUCUCAUAAAAUUUGCUUGAGCCAUCAAAUCUUAACAUUUUAUGACAGGUUGAUUUUUUAUUAAAUCAAUGAUUUUAAUAGUUAUAGGAUUAUUAGGAUUUUUUAUUUCUUCUUUUGUUAAUUUUAGUAAGUAGUGUUUUCCUAGGAAUUUGUCUAUUUUAUCAAAAUUUAUAAAUUAAUUCACAGAGUUGUUUAUAAUAUCUUCUAAUUAUCUUUCUAAUGUCUGCAACACAUGUAAUAAUGUUAUUUUUGCUUAUAAAUUGACAAUUUAUAAUUGCGUAUACUUAUGGGGCACAAAACAAUGUUAUGAUUUAUGAAAGCAAUGUGGAAUAAUUAAAUCUAGCAAAUUAAUAUAUCCAUCACCUUAAAUACUCAUCAUUUUUUGUGGUGAAAACAUUUGAAAUUCACUUUUUUUCACAAUUUAAAAAUGCACAGUACACUAUUAUUAUCUACAGGUGGUUCCUGACUUCUUAUGAUGAUUUGAAUUAUCACUUUUCAACUUUACAAUAAUGUGAAAGGAAUAUGCAUUCAGUAUGCUCUAUGACUUAUGUUGGGAUUAUGUCUGGAUAAACCCAUAGUAAGUUGAAAAUAUCAAUGGGCUCAUCCAGAUAUAACUCCAUCAUAAUUUGAGAAGCAGCUGUAUAUUUAUCAUGGUGUGCAAUAAAUCUCAAAAAAAGACUUAUUCCUCC